GGUCAAGUGACUAAGCGUACACGGUGGAUGCCUUGGCAGUCAGAGGCGAUGAAGGACGUGGUAAUCUGCGAUAAGUCUUGGGGAGCUGAUAAACAAGCUGUGAUCCAGGAAUUUCCGAAUGGGGAAACCCAACGGCGUAAGCCGUUAUUCCUUACCUGAAUACAUAGGGUCUGGAAGGCGAACCCGGGGAACUGAAACAUCUAAGUACCCGGAGGAAAAGAAAUCAAUUGAGAUUCCCCCAGUAGCGGCGAGCGAACGGGGACCAGCCCUUAAGUAAUUUUUGGUUUAGUGGAAGACUCUGGAAAGUGUCGCCAUAGUGGGUGAUAGCCCCGUACACGAAAGGCCAAUCAUUGUGAAAUCGAGUAGGACGGGACACGUGAAAUCCUGUCUGAACUGUCUUCGGACGAGGGGGGACCAUCCUCCAAGGCUAAAUACUCCUGACUGACCGAUAGUGAACCAGUACCGUGAGGGAAAGGCGAAAAGAACCCCGUUGAGGGGAGUGAAAUAGAACCUGAAUCCGUGUACGUACAAGCAGUGGGAGCACCUUCGUGGUGUGACUGCGUACCUUUUGUAUAAUGGGUCAGCGACUUACUUUCAGUGGCAAGGUUAACCGUUUAGGGGAGCCGUAGGGAAACCGAGUCUUAAUAGGGCGUGUUCUUAGGAACAACAGUCGCUGGGAGUAGACCCGAAACCGGGCGAUCUAUCCAUGGGCAGGUUGAAGGUUGAGUAACAUCAACUGGAGGACCGAACCGACUAUCGUUGAAAAGCUAGCGGAUGACCUGUGGAUAGGAGUGAAAGGCUAAUCAAGCCCGGAGAUAGCUGGUUCUCCUCGAAAGCUAUUUAGGUAGCGCCUCGUGUCUCACCAUCGGGGGUAGAGCACUGUUUGGGCUAGGGGGUCAUCCCGACUUACCAACCCCAUGCAAACUCCGAAUACCGAUGAGUGCAAUCACGGGAGACACACGGCGGGUGCUAACGUCCGUCGUGGAAAGGGAAACAACCCAGACCGUCAGCUAAGGUCCCAAAGUUCUAGUUAAGUGGGAAACGAUGUGAGAAGGCCCAGACAGCCAGGAGGUUGGCUUAGAAGCAGCCACCCUUUAAAGAAAGCGUAAUAGCUCACUGGUCGAGUCGGCUCGCGCGGAAGAUUUAACGGGGCUCAAACUAGACACCGAAGCUACGGGUACACACGUUUGUGUGUGCGGUAGAGGAGCGUUCUGUAAGCGGUUGAAGGUGUGUUGAGAAGCAUGCUGGACGUAUCAGAAGUGCGAAUGCUGACAUGAGUAACGACAAGGGGAGUGAGAAGCUCCCCCGCCGGAAGACCAAGGGUUCCUGCGCAACGCUAAUCGGCGCAGGGUGAGUCGGCCCCUAAGGUGAGGUCGAAAGACGUAAUCGAUGGGAAACAGGUCAAUAUUCCUGUACCCCUUUUGACUGCGAUGGAGUGACGGAGAAGGCUAGGUCGGCGCAGCGUUGGUUGUCUGCGUUUAAGAUCGUAGGCUGGGGUUUUAGGCAAAUCCGAAACCUCAAGGCCGAGAAUUGAUGACGAGGCUCUACGGAGCUGAAGUGAUUGAUGCCAUGCUUCCAGGAAAAACUUCUAAGCUUCAGGUCAUAAGGGACCGUACCCCAAACCGACACAGGUGGUCAGGUAGAGAAUACCAAGGCGCUUGAGAGAACUCGGGUGAAGGAACUAGGCAAAAUGGCACCGUAACUUCGGGAGAAGGUGCGCCGGCUUUGGUGAUCGGACUUGCUCCGUAAGCUGAGGCUGGUCGAAGAUACCAGGUGGCUGCGACUGUUUAUUAAAAACACAGCACUGUGCAAACACGAAAGUGGACGUAUACGGUGUGACGCCUGCCCGGUGCCGGAAGGUUAAUUGAUGGGGUUAUCUCACCUCCAGAUUGCUUUUGCUGCAAGGCAAAUGAUGGAGCGAGCGAAGGAGUUUACAAAAAAAUGACUGAGCGAGCGGAAUCAUUUAACGCAGUCAGCAAGAGCAAUGUGGUGGUGAGAGAAGCUCUUGAUCGAAGCCCCGGUAAACGGCGGCCGUAACUAUAACGGUCCUAAGGUAGCGAAAUUCCUUGUCGGGUAAGUUCCGACCUGCACGAAUGGCGUAACGAUGGCCACGCUGUCUCCACCCGAGACUCAGUGAAAUUGAAAUCGCUGUUAAGAUGCAGCGUAUCCGCGGCUAGACGGAAAGACCCCGUGAACCUUUACUACAGCUUCACAGUGGAUCUUGAUGUUGCCUGUGUAGGAUAGGUGGGAGGCUUGGAAGCGGUGACGCCAGUCAUCGUGGAGCCAUCCUUGAAAUACCACCCUGGCAAUAUUGAGGUUCUAACCCGGGUCCCGAAACGGGAUCGGGGACAUUGUGUGGUGGGUAGUUUGACUGGGGCGGUCUCCUCCCAAAGAGUAACGGAGGAGCACGAAGGUGUGCUAAGUACGGUCGGACAUCGUACGGUUAGUGUAAAGGCACAAGCACGCUUGACUGCGAGAGGUACAUCUCGAGCAGGUGCGAAAGCAGGUCUUAGUGAUCCGGUGGUUCUGCAUGGAAGGGCCAUCGCUCAACGGAUAAAAGGUACUCCGGGGAUAACAGGCUGAUACCGCCCAAGAGUUCACAUCGACGGCGGUGUUUGGCACCUCGAUGUCGGCUCAUCACAUCCUGGGGCUGAAGCCGGUCCCAAGGGUAUGGCUGUUCGCCAUUUAAAGUGGUACGCGAGCUGGGUUUAGAACGUCGUGAGACAGUUCGGUCCCUAUCUGCCGUGGACGUUGGAAGUUUGAGAAGAGCUGCUCCUAGUACGAGAGGACCGGAGUGGACGGACCACUGGUGUUCGGGUUGUGUCGCCAGACGCAUUGCCCGGUAGCUAUGUUCGGACGGGAUAACCGCUGAAAGCAUCUAAGCGGGAAGCCCCCUUCAAGAUGAGACUUCCCUGAGGACUAGAUCCUCCUAAAGAGCCGUUAAAGACUAUGACGUUGAUAGGUUGGGUGUGUAAGUGCUGUGAGGCAUUGAGCUAACCAAUACUAAUGACUCGUGCGGCUUGACCAU
rnacentral:rRNA from 1 species